UACGUAGGGGGCAAGCGUUGUCCGGAUUUAUUGGGCGUAAAGAGCGUGUAGGCGGCCAGGUAGGUCCGCUGUGAAAACUCGAGGCUCAACCUCGAGAUGUCGGCGGAAACCAUCUGGCUAGAGUCCGGAAGAGGAGAGUGGAAUUCCUGGUGUAGCGGUGAAAUGCGCAGAUAUCAGGAGGAAUCCCGGGGGUGUAGACGGCUCCCGGGACCGCCACUGACGCUGAGACACGAAAGCGUGGGUAGCAAACAGG
rnacentral:rRNA from 1 species